AGAACCAACAGGGAUUGCCUCAGUAACGGCGAGUGAAGCGGCAUCAGCUCAAAUUUGAAAUCGGGUCUUUCAGAUCUGAAUUGUAAUUUGUAGAGGAAUUAUCAUAGGUCCAACCUGUCAAGUCGUACCUGGAAUGGGGCAUCAUAGAGGGUGAGAAUCCCGUAUGAACAGGACUUGGGCCUUCCAAUGUAUAAUCCUUCGACGAGUCGAGUUGUUUGGGAAUGCAGCUCUAAAUGGGAGGUAAAUUUCUUCUAAAGCUAAAUAUUGGCCAGAGACCGAUAGCGAACAAGUAGAGUGAUCGAAAGAUGAAAAGCACUUUGGAAAGAGAGUUAAACAGUAUGUGAAAUUGUUAGAAGGGAAGCGCUUGCAAUCCAAGGAGCAUAUCUGUUGGGGGACUUACUGGACCUUUUAGUAGGGAACUACACCUUUACUGGUGUGUAGGUUUGUUUCUUGAACAGUAUCGUGCCGGUCAACGCCAGUUGGGAUCAUUGGGAUAAGCAUCAUGUGAAAGUAGCUCGUAGCCUUUGGUUGCGAGUGCCUUAUAGCUGUUGAUUGUAUUACCAAUUAGACCUGACUGAUGACAGUAUUUAUUUACGGUCGAAAUUUGAUAGAAAGGGUUGUAAGCGGCCCGUCUUGAAACACGGACCAAGGAGUCUAACAUCUAUGCGAGUGUUUGGGUGUCAAGCCCGCACGCGUAAUGAAAGUGAAUGGAGGUGGGAACCUUGUGAUGAGGUGCACCAUCGACCGAUCCUGAUGUCUUCGGAUGGAUUUGAGUAAGAGCAUAGCUGUUGGGACCCGAAAGAUGGUGAACUAUGCCUGUGUAGGCUGAAGUCAGAGGAAACUCUGAUGGAAGGUCGCAGCGGUUCUGACGUGCAAAUCGAUCGUCAAACAUGGGUAU
rnacentral:rRNA from 1 species